AAACCAAGGGACUGUGUUCUUUGAAUCUGGUUCUGCGACCACCCUCCAGGAGCAUCGAAUGCGCAUCUGACAUGACUCGGCUCCACUCUUGCGUCCAGGCCACCUGGCCAGUGACUUGGCACAAGCAACAAUUAGGCUGAGAAUGGGUGUUGAAGAUUUCGAAAUGCAGCUCAUUCAGUUAAAAAGCUCAGAAUUGUGGGCAUCAAAGUUUGGAGAUCUACGGAGUGCACUUGAAGCUACCGAGAGAGAUCAUGGGGCCUCUAUUCUGACCUGCUGGACGUCCUUGCCAGUGAAAUUUAACUGUUUGAAGAAAAUUGCGUUUGCAAUGCUUUCAGCAUUUGGAUCUACAUACCUGUGCGAACAGGUAUUUUCACACAUGAAAUCUGUCCUCUGCCCCUCUCGGAGCCGGUUAACAACUGAUCACUCAGAAGCCUGUGUGCAGCUUAAAGUAUCCAAAUACGUGCCAGACAUUGGAAAACUCAGCAAGGAAAAGCAAGGGCAAGGAUCACACUAAACUGAUAAGAUCUGCAUUUUAAUUUAAUUUUAAAUGCAGCUUCUUAAACAUUUUUAAAACCUUAUUUACUUUACGUACAACAAUAGUUUAGUUAUAUAUUAUAGACUUAUAGAGAGAGACCUUCUAAAAAUGUUAAAAUGUAUUACUGGCACGCGAAACCUUAAAUUAGAGUGAAUAAAUGAAGACUCAGCACACCACUUCUGAAAGGUUGCCAACCCCUGGACUAGAGGCAGGAAAAGGGAGACAAUUGUAGGGGUCCCCAAAACUUCUGUAACAUCUGCGUAAAUAAAGUGAAUGGGAGGGGUUGGGGCCCCUGCAAACAUGAUGUACCAGGGCUCCAAUUUCUCUCAACGGUCCUGCCUGCA